rnacentral:sRNA from 20 species
AUUAUUAUCACCAUUCCUGGAAUGGUGGGUUAGCGCGCGUCCUCAGAUCAGUUACCGCAAAACCCGCCCUGAGGCGGGUUUU